GGUUAAGCGACUAAGCGUACACGGUGGAUGCCCUGGCAGUCAGAGGCGAUGAAGGACGUGCUAAUCUGCGAUAAGCGUCGGUAAGGUGAUAUGAACCGUUAUAACCGGCGAUUUCCGAAUGGGGAAACCCAGUGUGUUUCGACACACUAUCAUUAACUGAAUCCAUAGGUUAAUGAGGCGAACCGGGGGAACUGAAACAUCUAAGUACCCCGAGGAAAAGAAAUCAACCGAGAUUCCCCCAGUAGCGGCGAGCGAACGGGGAGCAGCCCAGAGCCUGAAUCAGUGUGUGUGUUAGUGGAAGCGUCUGGAAAGGCGCGCGAUACAGGGUGACAGCCCCGUACACAAAAAUGCACAUGCUGUGAGCUCGAUGAGUAGGGCGGGACACGUGGUAUCCUGUCUGAAUAUGGGGGGACCAUCCUCCAAGGCUAAAUACUCCUGACUGACCGAUAGUGAACCAGUACCGUGAGGGAAAGGCGAAAAGAACCCCGGCGAGGGGAGUGAAAAAGAACCUGAAACCGUGUACGUACAAGCAGUGGGAGCCUCUUUUAUGGGGUGACUGCGUACCUUUUGUAUAAUGGGUCAGCGACUUAUAUUCUGUAGCAAGGUUAACCGAAUAGGGGAGCCGAAGGGAAACCGAGUCUUAACUGGGCGUUAAGUUGCAGGGUAUAGACCCGAAACCCGGUGAUCUAGCCAUGGGCAGGUUGAAGGUUGGGUAACACUAACUGGAGGACCGAACCGACUAAUGUUGAAAAAUUAGCGGAUGACUUGUGGCUGGGGGUGAAAGGCCAAUCAAACCGGGAGAUAGCUGGUUCUCCCCGAAAGCUAUUUAGGUAGCGCCUCGUGAAUUCAUCUCCGGGGGUAGAGCACUGUUUCGGCAAGGGGGUCAUCCCGACUUACCAACCCGAUGCAAACUGCGAAUACCGGAGAAUGUUAUCACGGGAGACACACGGCGGGUGCUAACGUCCGUCGUGAAGAGGGAAACAACCCAGACCGCCAGCUAAGGUCCCAAAGUCAUGGUUAAGUGGGAAACGAUGUGGGAAGGCCCAGACAGCCAGGAUGUUGGCUUAGAAGCAGCCAUCAUUUAAAGAAAGCGUAAUAGCUCACUGGUCGAGUCGGCCUGCGCGGAAGAUGUAACGGGGCUAAACCAUGCACCGAAGCUGCGGCAGCGACGCUUAUGCGUUGUUGGGUAGGGGAGCGUUCUGUAAGCCUGUGAAGGUGUGCUGUGAGGCAUGCUGGAGGUAUCAGAAGUGCGAAUGCUGACAUAAGUAACGAUAAAGCGGGUGAAAAGCCCGCUCGCCGGAAGACCAAGGGUUCCUGUCCAACGUUAAUCGGGGCAGGGUGAGUCGACCCCUAAGGCGAGGCCGAAAGGCGUAGUCGAUGGGAAACAGGUUAAUAUUCCUGUACUUGGUGUUACUGCGAAGGGGGGACGGAGAAGGCUAUGUUGGCCGGGCGACGGUUGUCCCGGUUUAAGCGUGUAGGCUGGUUUUCCAGGCAAAUCCGGAAAAUCAAGGCUGAGGCGUGAUGACGAGGCACUACGGUGCUGAAGCAACAAAUGCCCUGCUUCCAGGAAAAGCCUCUAAGCAUCAGGUAACAUCAAAUCGUACCCCAAACCGACACAGGUGGUCAGGUAGAGAAUACCAAGGCGCUUGAGAGAACUCGGGUGAAGGAACUAGGCAAAAUGGUGCCGUAACUUCGGGAGAAGGCACGCUGAUAUGUAGGUGAAGUCCCUCGCGGAUGGAGCUGAAAUCAGUCGAAGAUACCAGCUGGCUGCAACUGUUUAUUAAAAACACAGCACUGUGCAAACACGAAAGUGGACGUAUACGGUGUGACGCCUGCCCGGUGCCGGAAGGUUAAUUGAUGGGGUUAGCGCAAGCGAAGCUCUUGAUCGAAGCCCCGGUAAACGGCGGCCGUAACUAUAACGGUCCUAAGGUAGCGAAAUUCCUUGUCGGGUAAGUUCCGACCUGCACGAAUGGCGUAAUGAUGGCCAGGCUGUCUCCACCCGAGACUCAGUGAAAUUGAACUCGCUGUGAAGAUGCAGUGUACCCGCGGCAAGACGGAAAGACCCCGUGAACCUUUACUAUAGCUUGACACUGAACAUUGAGCCUUGAUGUGUAGGAUAGGUGGGAGGCUUUGAAGUGUGGACGCCAGUCUGCAUGGAGCCGACCUUGAAAUACCACCCUUUAAUGUUUGAUGUUCUAACGU
rnacentral:rRNA from 1 species